UGCCAGCAGCCGCGGUAAUACGUAGGGGGCAAGCGUUGUCCGGAUUUACUGGGUGUAAAGGGAGCGCAGGCGGGUUAGUAAGUCAGUGGUGAAAUCCUACAGCUUAACUGUAGAACUGCCAUUGAUACUGCUAAUCUUGAGUGAAGUAGAGGUAGGCGGAAUUCCGAGUGUAGCGGUGAAAUGCGUAGAUAUUCGGAGGAACACCAGUGGCGAAGGCGGCCUACUGGGCUUUAACUGACGCUGAGGCUCGAAAGUGUGGGGAGCAAACAGGAUUAGACA
rnacentral:rRNA from 1 species